rnacentral:rRNA from 1 species
CUCUGUCACUCCUACGGGAGGCAGCAGUGGGGGAAUAUUGCACAAUGGGGGAAACCCUGAUGCAGCCAUGCCGCGUGUGUGAAGAAGGCCUUCGGGUUGUAAAGCACUUUCAGUAGGGAGGAAGGUAGUGUAGUUAACACCUGCAUUAUUUGACGUUACCUACAGAAGAAGCACCGGCUAACUCCGUGCCAGCAGCCGCGGUAAUACGGAGGGUGCGAGCGUUAAUCGGAAUUACUGGGCGUAAAGCGCAUGCAGGCGGCCUGUUAAGUCAGAUGUGAAAGCCCGGGGCUUAACCUCGGAAUUGCAUUUGAAACUGGCAGGCUAGAGUCUUGUAGAGGGGGUAGAAUUUCAGGUGUAGCGGUGAAAUGCGUAGAGAUCUGAAGGAAUACCAGUGGCGAAGGCGGCCCCCUGGACAAAGACUGACGCUCAGAUGCGAAAGCGUGGGGAGCAAACAGGAUUAGAUACCCUGGUAG